AGAGCGAACGCUGGCGGCAGGCCUAACACAUGCAAGUCGAGCGCCGUAGCAAUACGGAGCGGCAGACGGGAGAGUAACACGUGGGAACGUACCCUUUGGUUCGGAACAACCCAGGGAAACUUGGGCUAAUACCGAAUAAGCCCUUACGGGGAAAGAUUUAUCGCCGAAGGAUCGGCCCGCGUCUGAUUAGCUAGUUGGUGGGGUAACGGCCCACCAAGGCGACGAUCAGUAGCUGGUCUGAGAGGAUGAUCAGCCUCAUUGGGACUGAGACACGGCCCAAACUCCUACGGGAGGCAGCAGUGGGGAAUAUUGGACAAUGGGCGCAAGCCUGAUCCAGCCAUGCCGCGUGGGUGAUGAAGGCCCUAGGGUUGUAAAGCCCUUUCGGCGGGGUAAGAUAAUGACGGUACCCGCAGAAGAAGCCCCGGCUAACUUCGUGCCAGCAGCCGC
rnacentral:rRNA from 1 species